UCUAAAUCAUUUCUCACGAAAAUUGUUUUCGUUUGCCGUGUUUCUUCUUCAUUAUUUACCUUCAUUCUUUACCUCUGCUUCUCUGUGAAACGAGAAAACAUCUUUGAAAUAGUAUAGAAAUUAGACACUGGUUAGAUUACAUUAGUUAUCUCGUGGAAUCGAAGGCUGUAGUGGAGAGAUCUGUCAGGACAACUGUGUAAUCUUUUGUUAACGGCAAUUUCUACGUAAUUCAGUGCUCAAUGGAAUGAAGAAACGAUCUCAGGUUUCUUGUCGGGAGUACUAUUCUUACAAGUUACAAAUUAGACCUUCUGGUUCUAUGAGUGGGAUUCAAAAGUUCUUUUCAAUUCUUUGCUACAUGUGUACAAUGGAAUCCUUAACGACAACUUCAAAUAAAACUCAAGUUUGCAAAAGGUGAUCAGCUAGCAAUAGCAAAGGAAACAUGGCACGGUUUGGGAAUGCGUACCAACAAAACGUAUCAUUCAUCUUCUUUACUAAGAAAUAACAAAGACAAGUCAAUUGCUGUAUUGCCUGUUGAUGAACUGAUUGGAAAGGUUGAAAACUUUGUUAGUGUGUGCAAUCUCUCAUUACAUAAUAUCUUUACAUGGAUAGUGGUUAAACUAAAAUUUACAUAUAUUUUAUUUUUUAAUUUGUCUUUGGAAAAUUCUGCAUAUCUGGCUUUAAA